AGUUAUCUGAACCUUCGGGGGACGAUAACGGCGUCGAGCGGCGGACGGGUGAGUAAUGCCUAGGAAAUUGCCCUGGUGUGGGGGAUAACCAUUGGAAACGAUGGCUAAUACCGCAUAAUACCUACGGGUCAAAGAGGGGGACCUUCGGGCCUCUCGCGUCAGGAUAUGCCUAGGUGGGAUUAGCUAGUUGGUGAGGUAAUGGCUCACCAAGGCGACGAUCCCUAGCUGGUCUGAGAGGAUGAUCAGCCACACUGGAACUGAGACACGGUCCAGACUCCUACGGGAGGCAGCAGUGGGGAAUAUUGCACAAUGGGCGCAAGCCUGAUGCAGCCAUGCCGCGUGUGUGAAGAAGGCCUUCGGGUUGUAAAGCACUUUCAGUCGUGAGGAAGGUAGUGUAGUUAAUAGCUGCAUUAUUUGACGUUAGCGACAGAAGAAGCACCGGCUAACUCCGUGCCAGCAGCCGCGGUAAUACGGAGGGUGCGAGCGUUAAUCGGAAUUACUGGGCGUAAAGCGCAUGCAGGUGGUUUGUUAAGUCAGAUGUGAAAGCCCGGGGCUCAACCUCGGAAUAGCAUUUGAAACUGGCAGACUAGAGUACUGUAGAGGGGGGUAGAAUUUCAGGUGUAGCGGUGAAAUGCGUAGAGAUCUGAAGGAAUACCGGUGGCGAAGGCGGCCCCCUGGACAGAUACUGACACUCAGAUGCGAAAGCGUGGGGAGCAAACAGGAUUAGAUACCCUGGUAGUCCACGCCGUAAACGAUGUCUACUUGGAGGUUGUGGCCUUGAGCCGUGGCUUUCGGAGCUAACGCGUUAAGUAGACCGCCUGGGGAGUACGGUCGCAAGAUUAAAACUCAAAUGAAUUGACGGGGGCCCGCACAAGCGGUGGAGCAUGUGGUUUAAUUCGAUGCAACGCGAGAACCUUACCUACUCUUGACAUCCAGAGACAUUCCAGAGAUGGAUUGUGC
rnacentral:rRNA from 1 species